rnacentral:rRNA from 1 species
UACGUAGGGUGCAAGCGUUGUCCGGAAUUAUUGGGCGUAAAGAGCUCGUAGGCGGUCUGUCGCGCGGCUGUGAAAACCCGAGGCUCAACCUCGGGCCUGCAGUCGAUACGGGCAGACUAGAGUGUGGUAGGGGAGACUGGAAUUCCUGGUGUAGCGGUGAAAUGCGCAGAUAUCGGGAGGAACACCGGUGGCGAAGGCGGUUCUCUGGGCCUUACCUGACGCUGAGGAGCGAAAGCGUGGGGAGCGAACAGG